CUUCUCUGAUGAUCUUUUACACAGACCUGUACUGAGCUCAUAACCGUGCAGAAAAUUGUAAACUGAAA
ensembl:snoRNA snoRNA:Me18S-G1620